rnacentral:rRNA from 1 species
UACGUAGGGCGCAAGCGUUGUCCGGAAUUAUUGGGCGUAAAGAGCUCGUAGGCGGCUUGUCACGUCGAUUGUGAAAGCCCGAGGCUUAACCUCGGGUCUGCAGUCGAUACGGGCUAGCUAGAGUGUGGUAGGGGAGAUCGGAAUUCCUGGUGUAGCGGUGAAAUGCGCAGAUAUCAGGAGGAACACCGGUGGCGAAGGCGGCUCUCUAGUACGGUACUGACGCUGAGACGCGAAAGCGUGGGGAGCGAACAGG